GAUGAAGAACGUAGCGAAAUGCGAUAAGUAAUGUGAAUUGCAGAAUUCAGUGAAUCAUCGAAUCUUUGAACGCACAUUGUGCCCGCCAGUAUUCUGGCGAGCAUGCCUGUUCGAGCGUCAUUUCAACCAUCAAGCCCCAGGCUUGUGUUGGAGCCCUGCGGCUGCCGCAGCCUCCCAAAACCAGUGGCGGGCUCGCUAUCACACCGAGUGCAGUAGUUUACUCUUCGCUCAGGGCGUGUGGCGGGUGCUAGCCGUGAAACCCCCAACUUCUCAAGGUUGACCUCGGAUCAGGUAGGAAUACCCGCUGAACUUAAGCAUAUCAAUAAGCGGAGGA
rnacentral:misc_RNA from 1 species